GACGAACGCUGGCGGCGUGCUUAACACAUGCAAGUCGAACGGUGAAGCGCCUUCCUUUUUGGUGGGUGUGGAUGAGUGGCGAACGGGUGAGUAACACGUGAGUAACCUGCCCCCUUCUUCUGGAUAACCGCAUGAAAGUGUGGCUAAUACGGGAUAUUCUGGGUCUGUCGCAUGAUGGGUCUGGGAAAGAUAUUGUUUCGGUGGGGGAUGGGCUCGCGGCCUAUCAGCUUGUUGGUGGGGUGAUGGCCUACCAAGGCGGUGACGGGUAGCCGGCCUGAGAGGGUGGCGGGCCACAGGGGGGGUGAGACGCGGCCGGGCCCCCUGCGGGGGGAGGGGGGGGGGAGGAGGGAACAAGGGGGGGAGGCCUUAUGCCGCGGCGCCGGGUGAGGGAGGGCGCCCUUGGUGUUGGGAACCUCUUGCGCCAGUGAAGCGGGCCCGCCUCUUGUGUGGGGGGGUUGAGGGUGGCGGGAGAAGAGGCGCCGGCAAACUAGGUC
rnacentral:rRNA from 1 species